GACGAACGCUGGCGGCGUGCUUAACACAUGCAAGUCGAACGGAAAGGCCCUGCUUUUGUGUGGUGCUCGAGUGGCGAACGGGUGUGUAACACGUGAGUAACCUGCCCUUGACUUUGUGAUAACUUCAGGAAACUGGGGCUAAUACCGGAUAGGAGCUCCUGCUGCAUGGUGGGGGUUGGAAAGUUUCGGCGGUUGGGGAUGGACUCGCGGCUUACCAGCUUGUUGGUGGGGUAGUGGCUUACCAAGGCUUUGACGGGUAGCCGGCCUGAGAGGGUGACCGGCCACAUUGGGACUGAGAUACGGCCCAGACUCCUACGGGAGGCAGCAGUGGGGAAUAUUGCACAAUGGGCGGAAGCCUGAUGCAGCAACGCCGCGUGCGGGAUGACGGCCUUCGGGUUGUAAACCGCUUUCGCCUGUGACGAAGCGUGAGUGACGGUAAUGGGUAAAGAAGCACCGGCUAACUACGUG
rnacentral:rRNA from 1 species